UCCCUUUCCAGCCUCCUGUACACUUCCUUCCUUCAUUAAGCUUAGAGUAAUUUUGAUUACCAAAUAAAUGUGUUUUCAAGAGACAGAAUGACGUCACGUAGCAUGUAAGCCAGUAUCUACACAAUAAUCACUUGAUUUUACCUUAACCUAUAGCCUCAAAAUACUUCUACUCAUGCAGCCAAACCUAAUGUCCAGCCCUGGCACCUAUCCAGAUAGACAGACCCAUUUUCCUACUGCUCAUGCGACAGCUCCACAUGGACAGGCUACAGCACCUCUCUGACUGCAUAAUACACACAGAUCUCAUCCUCCACACUCUUCCUCAUCAAGUCAUCACCAACUUUUCCUCCUCCACUCUCACUCUCAACUAAGGGCACAGCAUCAUCUAGAAAUCAGAUCAAUAGAGAUUCUCUCCAUCAGUUCCCAGUCCCUCACUUCCUAAAAUGCUCACAUGUCUUUCCACCUCACCAUCUCCCCUACACCCCUCACACAACGAAUUAAGGGCCUAGCCACUUCCUUUUGUUUUGUAGAGUUAGUGUGUCCUCAGCAUAUGUUCAAUAAAUGUUUGCCGGAUGAAUGAAUGCAUGCAUGAACCAAUGAAUGAAUGAAAUUACCAGGCAUGGGAAUUCCCUAAUUCAAAUCUUGGAAUCUGCCCCACCUGGGCCUCCUGCCUCCAUGAAGAAACACAUAGUUCCCUCACCUGUGCUCACUUGAGGUCACAGUUCUCAUGGAAACUACAGCUGAGAGUGUCACUGUGGACACCUCCUCCCCAGGGCCAAACACUGACAUGGAGAUGAGGAUGCUCCCAACAGGACCAGUGCAUGAUACUUCCUGCAUUGGACCACGCAAGUCCAUGUCAGCUUAACAAUGGAGAGUGCCAUUUCCACGGGGGUUCCAUCUAACCUUCCCAUGUCCAGACAUUGGACCAGCCCUCUACCCUAGACAGUGUAUGGUUGAAACAUAGGCCAGCGAUCACAGCCCCAAGACUUCCGCCCCCUUGCGUGCCAAGAUCUCAGAAGCCACUGGAGUCCAUGGUGUUCCUGGCCCAUCUUGGCUGUUGGUCAUCAGUCAGCAACCCACUCACAUAGCCCAGCCUCUAUGAAGGGUCCACAGGAGAUAAAACACCAGCCCCCAGUAGGCAUGAAGACAGCACUCAGCCCUGAGACACUGGCAAGGUUGCAGAGGAGCAUUGGAGUGGUCAAGAGAGGUAGCUCACCCAGAAUGAUGCAGGGAGCCAGCCAUACUCUUCCUGACAGAGGGAAGGUGAUUCUGAGGGAGGGUACAGUGUCCUGCACGCCACUGGUGCAUUCAGCCAACAAGCCUGUCCAUUCAGAUCACGUGGCCCCUUCCAGUUGGUAAUGAUGGUCCCUGGAUUUCCCAAGCCUAUUCUUGUUCAUUGUCCUGUUCUCCCCCUCCCUUCCCCCUUCUUUCCCUCAGGUCCCUGCCCCCACCAGGCUGAACUCUGGAUUCAGAGCUCUGAUUGCCAGCCUGCCUGGGGCUCUGUGGUCCUGGUUUCGCAUAUGGUCUCUCUCAUGGACUCUGGCAAUUGCUCUCCCCUGGAUCCUCCCAAUGCCCCUCACGGGCUGAGGGUCUCCUGUCUCUCUCCUUCCUAGGCUCUUGUUCAUUCUGACCAAAUCUUUCUGAAAGGAGAGGAGAAAUCUCCUGUCCACAUAUCAGAAUUUCAAAUCAUUUUUAAUUUUUUAAAAAUGUUAAUUGGUACAGCAUUUUUGCAAUGAAAUUUUAGAAAUAUUUAUAAAAUGCUAAACUAUUUAUACCCUUUUCAUUUUCACCCAACGUCGAUGUUAAUACAUUUCUUAUAAGAAAACAUUAAUGUUUGCCCAAUAAUACAUAUUCGAAGAUGAUUUUAUUCUAUUCAUCAUACAGCAGAUGGGAAACAACUGGUGUCCAUUAGGAAGAAAGAGUUUAAUUAAUUAUGGUGCAUGCCUACUUUAGAAUUAUAGAAAUUAGUUUCAAAAGAGAGAUCUAUAUAUAUAUACACAGUUGUGGAAAGAUCCCAUAUCCAUUUUAUGAAGUGACAAAGGCUAGUGGCAGAUCAAUAUAUACAUUAUCAUUCUUGUGUAUUAAAUAAAAACAAUAUAUUGUUAUAGCUUAUCUGUCAAUUAAUAGCCUAGAGUCAGUUUUAAAAUAAUACAUACCAGAUUGUUAAUUGUGGUGACCUCUAAGGAGGGGGAUAAACUGUGGAGGAGUUUUGUAAAGGGGAAAAUUGUGAAUUAUAUACACUUCUAUAAUUUUUGCAAUAACAAUAUGCAAACUGUUACCUUUGAAAUACAAAAUAUUUAUGCUUAACAGAAAUGGUAGCUAUGGUAGUUACAGUAACUGCUAGCUGAUGCAUCAGAGAAAUGCUGAAAUUUGAUUGGCAUGACACAAGUUUAUUUUAUGCAUACAUAAUUGGUGAUACAGUUUGCCAGGGGCUCUAUACUCUCAUGUGACCCAGGGAUCCAUGCUACUUCCACUUUGUGAUUCCAUCAUCUCAUCUCAAGAUGAAGCUGCCAUGCUUGCCAUUGAAAGGAGGGAGAAAGUGGAAAAUGGCACAGUCGCAAUUCCUGGAUGUGACAAACAAUGCUUCUGCUCAUGUUUCAGUGGUAAGGGGUUGUCACACUACUCUUCCUAACUGCAAGUGGACUUUACUGUUCCCAUGUGUCCAGACAGGAGAGGAAGACAAGAUGUGGGGCCUCCUGGGGAUCCUCUGGAGCUUCCUGGUGAUCCUGGUCAGCCUGUCCCCUGAGAACCUGAAGGAAAAAGUGAGAGGGCACCUCAGGGUACACAAGCAAGCAGAGGCUGAUUCUGCAGGACUGACAGUAGAGAGGGGCCUAAGACGCUCCCUCUACUGACCUGAGUGCAGACCCCUCGACAAAGACCUCCCCAUCCCUGACACCAAUGAUCCCAGGAUGGGGGCCCCUGUGUUGACCUGAGUCAUCCUCGGAGAACAAGUUCCUCACCUCCCCGAGAUCUGAAAACAGGAAUGAGAUGGAGCUACAUCCUGUCACCCCCACAUGGGGUGUCCAGAGCCUGGACCCACUUCCCUCCACCAAUCUCAAGCCGCCACUCAGAGCGAGAACUUCGCUUCUCUUUGACCCCCAACGCCAAGUCAGUGGUGUCACAUCCGGGCACCCGGGGAUUCCCUCGGUUGAAAGCAGGGGCGAAACCGGAUUCUACCAGAAUAGCCUGGGCCCACUUCCCUCCUCCAAUCCCAAGCCGCCUGUCAGACCAAGAAGCUCGCUUCUCUCUGACCCCCAAUGCGCAAAUCAGUGGCGUCACAUCCAGGCCAGGGGCUUCCCGGGGUUGACAGCAGGGGAAGACCCAGAUUCUGCCAGGAUGGAGCUAUAGAGGGAACCUGGGCCUGCUUCCUUCCACCGAUCUCAAGCUGCUCCUAAGACCAAGAACCUGGCUUCUCUCUGAUACCCAAUGCGCAAGUCAGUGGCAUCACAUCCGGGCCACCUGGCGCUUCUGGUUGAUUUGGGAAGCAGAGAAUAGCCGCCCAAAUUUGAUUGUAAUUUUGGCGGCUACAGGUAAGGCACUAAAUUGUAAAUAAUUUAAGUAUAAUUGACAUUUUUACAAUGUUCUGUUCCCCAUCAAUGAACAGGUUAUGCUCCUCUUUAUUUCAGACCCUCUUAACCUGAAUCUAUCAGUAUACUUUGAUAGUUGCCUCUAGAAAGACCUUAUACAUUUUUGUUAGGGUUCUUUUCAGGUUAAUUCUUGGAUUUUGUUACUACUGCAAAUGGCAUAUUUUCUAUUGUUUGUUCUAAUUAGGUAUUGCUUUCGCAUGUCAAAGAUUUUGACUUUGCUAUAGUAAUGUUACACACCUCUUUCUGAAAGCCCAUUCACCUGAAUAUUCCAUUUGCCUAUUCCUUUGAAUUUUCAAGACCGAUAAUGACAUUAUCACUAAACAUUAUGUAUUUUUCCAAUAUUCACAACCCUUAUUUAUUUUGAUACUUAUAGCUCUGACUUUGUGUCUCAAUGAUGAUUUAAAACAUAGAGAUAAUAGCCUACAUCUACUUCUUGCUCCUGACAUUAAUGAUAAUUCUUUGAACGUUUCACAUUUAAGUAUGUUUGCUGUUGAUUUUAGGAAAUAGAAGUUAUCUUUCAAUAUAGGUUAACUAAAUAUUUUUACCAUGAACUCAUCGAAUUUCUUUCAAAAGCUUUUUCUGUACCCAUUAACACAAUCAAAUUUUUUUCUACUCUAUUUUGUAUGUAAAGAAUUACAAUGAAACUUUUUUUCCUAAUGUGGAAUCAUAUUGUCUUUCCUUGGGCAGAGCCUGUUUGUUCAUUUAAUAUUCUACUAAUUUACAUAGAAUAAUUGCUGCUAUGUAACAGAGCUUGCUUGAUGUGUUUUUUAUAUCGGGGUGGGAGGUGGUCCUCAUCUGUUUUUUGAAUCCAAGAGGGCUCAUCUGGGAGAACAAAGUGAACAAUUGCCUAUAUUUUGUGUGCAUUGGAAGAGCUGAGAUAAGAUGGUGGUUAGUUUCCCCUGAUUAUUUAGUAGAAUCGGCCUCCAAAACUGACUAACAUGGAACGUUUGAGGGUGGCUUGAGCUUUGAAUAGUUUGAGCUUGUAUAGUUUCAGUUUGUAAAGUUUAAUUAAGGUUUUCUUUUUGGAUCAAUUUGGUCACUUGGUCACUUAUUUAUUUAUUUCUACAAAGUGAUCAGUUUCACUUAUGAUUUAACUUUUAGUGGAAUGAUAUUUAUGAUAAAAAAUGUUUUAUUAGGGAAAGCCUCAAACAUACAGAUUAAUAGAGAGACUAAUAUAGUGAACCCAGUGUAGAUGACUCUCAGCAUCAAUAACCUUAACUACACGGCAAACCUGUUUCCAGUUAGACACUCACCUACCAGCACCUAAGCUGCUGGAGUAACGUGGAGCAAGUCUAAGACAUCAUACGAUUUCAUCUCUAAAUAAUUCAAUAUGAUAUUUUUAAAAGAUAGGGACUUUGUAUUAAACAAAAACCCAAUAUUAUUUUCAUUUCUAAAAAGUAAAUAAAUGAUUAUCAAAUGUUCAACUGUUUUACACACUUACCUGGUAGACUUAUACUUUAUAAAAAUUGUGUUUCUUUGUAUGAGUACCCAAGUAUAAUAUUAUAUAGUGAUUUUUUGGUCAUACUCCUUAAGUCUUCUAUCAUUUGUAGGUCCCCUCCACAUGACCUGUUUUCUUGCCACUGUUUUGUUGUUGUUGGAAAGAAACAGAUCUUGUGUUCUUUCCAGUUUUCCAUAGUCUGGAUUUGGCUGAAUACAACACUGUGAUGUCCUUUAUCAUAUUCUUUAGCCCUCCAUUUCUAGGACUACAAGAUGCUCUAGGCUCAUUGGGUUUAUGCCCUGCCCCAGUCCUAAAAUCAGCCAUUUCUCCAGAGAUCUGGUUCCUUUUAAUAGGAAAUGGUUCUAGAAAUUUACAUCUGGGUGCUAGGUGUGCUCAUUGCUACUUUUGCUUUUGGUGUUGAAUUUACAAACUUUUUACCAAACUUAAAGUAAUGUAAAUUUUCUCUUAUUUUCUUAUAGAAGUUGUAUAAUUUUUGCAUUUUGCAUUAGGUCUAUGAUGUAGCUUGAGUUAAUCUUUGUGAAAUACCUAAGGAUUUGUCUAGGUUAUUAUUAUUAUUGUUGGUGUAUAGAUGUCCAAUUUUUCAUGCACCAUUUGUUGGAACAACUAUACUUUCAGCAUUAUUGCUUUGUUAUAAAUCACCUGAAUAUAUGUGUGCAGGUCUAUUUCUGGGCUGUAUUCUGUUUUUUUAAUAUAUGUUCUUUAUCCAUUCACCAAAAGAAAUACAUCUUGGAUGCUUCUAUUUUUGGUGAUUAUGAAAUAAGCUAUUGUACACAUUCACAUACAAAUUUUUAUGUAGGCGUAAGUUUUCAAAUCAGUUGGGUAAAUACCUAGGCGUAGGACUGCUGAAUCUUAUCGUAAGACUAUGUUCAGUUUUUUUAAGAAAAUGCCAAACUGUCUACUUCCAAAGUGGCUGCAUCAUUUUGCAUUUCCACCAUCAAUGAAUGAGAGUUUCUGUUGCUCCACAUCUUCACUAGCAAUUGGUCUUUUUUUUAUCUUAGACAUUCUAAUAGGUGUAUAGUGGUUUCUCAUUUUAGUACACAAUUCUCUAAUGACAAAAGACGUCCAGGACUUUUACUAUGCUUAUUUGCCAUCUGUAUAUCUUCUUUGGUGUACUGUCUGUUCAGAUCUUCAACUAUUUUCGUUUAUUUUCUAUUGUUGAGUUUUAAGAAGUUGUGUAUAUUGUAGAGACAAGUUCUUUAUCACAUAUGUGUGCUACAGAUGUUUUCUGCUAGUCUGUAGCUUCUGUUUUUAUUCUGUUAACUCUGUUUUUUGAAGAGCAUAAGAUUUUUAUUUUAAUAAAAUCCAACUUGGCUAAUUUUUCCUUCAUUGAUGAUACUUUUGGUGCUGAAUUUUAAAACUCAUCAUCAAACUCAAAUUUGUGUAGAUUUUCUCUUACGCUUUCUUCUAGAAGUUGUAUGGUUUUUGCAUUUUGCAUUAGAUCUAUGACGUAUUUUGAGUUGAUCUUGUGAAAUUUUUAAGGAUAUGUCUAGGUUAUUAUUAUUAUUAUUAUUAUUAUUUGUGUCUAGAUGUCCAAUUGUUCAGGCACCACUUGUUGGAAAAAACUAUACUUUUACCAUUAUUGCCUUUGUUGCAAUUCACCUGACUAUAUGUGUGCCAGUCUGUUUCUGAGCUCUAUUCUGUUUUAUUAAUCUAUGUGUUUAUUCUUUGCUAAUGGUUAUGUCCUCUACCGCAUUCAUAUUUUGAAUCCCUCAGCUCCAGGGUGUCUGUAUUUGGAGAUGGGGCCUCUAAGGAAGUAAUUAAUAUUGAAAGAGGUCAUAAGGGUGGGGCCUUGAUCCCAUAAGAUUAGUGUGGUUAUAAGGGAAGCAAGAAAGCACUCUUGUGCUUGCAUGAGUUCUCUCUCUCUCUCUCUCACCCUCUCCCUCCCUCUCUCUCUCACUCUCUCCCUCCCUCUCUCUCUCUCUCCCUCCCUCCCUCCCUCCUUCCCUUUCUCCCUCCCUCCUUCCCUUUCUCCCUCUCUCCAUGCACAUGCACAGAUGAAAGGACAAGAAUGAACAUAAUGAGAAUGGGCCAUCUACAAGCUGGGAAUAAGAAACUGACCCUCCAGUCCUUUAUCUGUGACUUUUAGUCUCCAAAACUGUGAAAAAAAAUAAUUUCUGUUGUUUCAGCUAAAUAAUCCAUGCCAUUUUGUUAUGGAAGCCAAAGCUGACUAAAACAUAACCACAGGUUAUAAAACUUUUCUUCUGUUUUCUCCUAGAAAAAAAGUAUUUUUGACAUUUAGGGCUAUGAUUCAUUUUGAGUUACAUUUUUGUAUGGGGCAAGGUAUGUGCAAUGGUUAGUUUUAUGUGUUAGCUUUUCUAGGCUAUAGUACUCAGUUGUGUGGUCAAACACUAGCCUAGCUGUUGCUGUGAAGGUAUUUUGUACAUGUGAUCAACAUUUACAAUCGAUUUUAAGUAAAGCAGUUUACCUCCAUAACGUGGGUGCGCCUCAUCCAAUCAGUUGAAGGUCUUAAAAGACCGAGGUUUCCUGGAGAAGGAAUUCUACCACAAGAUUGGAACGUAAAAACGCUGUGUCAGUUUCUAGCCUGCUGCCCUGUCCUACAGAUUUUGGAUGUAUCAGACCUCAUAGUCACCUGAGACAAUUCCUUAAAAUAUCUUUCUUUCUCUCUCUCCCUUUAUAGAUAGAUAGAUAGAGUAUGGAUUGAAAUUUAGUUUUGCAUAUGGAUAUCCAAUUGUUUCAGAUCAAAUUGUUGAAUAUACUAUCAUUUCUUUCCUCUAAUCUUCAUUUGCAUCUUUAUCAAUAAUUAGUUGUCUAUAUAUACAUAUACAUGUGGAUCCACUCCUGGACUUUAUUCUCUUCCAUUGAUAUACUGCUAUAAUUAUGACAGUUCCACACUAUACUGAUCAUUGCGAGUUUAUAAGCCUUGAAAUGAAGUAGGGUAACUCCCCCAACUUUGUUCUAUUUUUUAGUUUUCUUUGACUAUUCUAGGGCCUUUGCACAUCUAUAUGAAUGUUAGAGUCAGUCUCUCAAUUUAUAUUUUAAAAAUCCUGGAAUUUUGAUUUUUAUUGCAUUGAAUAUGUCAAAAACUUUGAGGGCAAAUGACAUCUUAAUAUUCAGUCUUUUGACUCAUGAAUAAAGUGUAUGUCUCUGUUUACUUAGAUUCUAAUUAAAUUUAUCUCUCUAAUGUUUUAUAGUUUUCAAUGGAUAGAUCUUAUACAUCUUCUGUCAUAUUUAUCCAUUUAAUAUUUAUUGUCUAAUGCUAUUUUAAAUUGCAUUGUUUUUGUCUCAGUUGCCAAUUGCUCAUUGCUAGUGUAAAAACACAAGUAUAAUGAUCUAUAUCCAGCAACAUUGCUAAACUCUUAUUAGUUUUAGAAGCAUUUUUUUGAUAGAUAGAAUUGUCCGUAUAUACUCUUAUUUUCUGUAAAUAAAGACAGUUUUAUUUGUCCCUUUCCAAUACGAAGGCCUUUUAAAAAAACUUAUUACACUGGACAGAACCUCAGGCACGUUGUUGAACUAUUCUUCUCAACACCACCCUUUUCCAUGAACUCGUCAGUCUUAGGUUUUAGUUUCCUACAUGCAAAUAUCCUGCGUAAUUUCUGGCAUGAAAAUCUGCCUCAUUCACUCUACACUGUUAAAAUCCAAGCCUGGGUACCACAUCUACUGAGAUGAGCAUAACCCUACAGUUGAAACAAGACACAUAAGAUGUCCAGUGGAGCAAAUGUAUUCACUGGAGUUUGACAGCCUGAAUGCAGUGAUUUCAGACUGGGGAAAACUGAAACCCCAGGAGACUUCUGUGGACACUUUUCCAUUGGUAGGAUGGGAAAGUUCCUUGGUGGUAUCCAAGUGAGUGGUCUUCAAGAUGCAUAAGAGAAAUUUUUAGGAGUGAAGUAGGAUGAUUCACAUCUACACAUAUAUUUAAAUACAGUCAGAUUACCUCGGAGAGAUUUCCGGUAAGAUGUACAAAAACUAGAUAAUGGUGGGAGAAAACAGAAGGAAGCACUGAAGUGGGGUGACUUUGGGAAAAGGCUUAGAGGAAAUACUCUCUCCCUGCCAUGUGACCCACCCAAGUUGAACAUGGGAGGAAAGGAGCACCGCUACUCAGUUUGGGAAAGCUCUUUAGGAGUGCUAAAGAAAUGUCCCCUUUUUCUUCAAUCAGAGCAUCCUGGCUUUGUCAUCAGACUCCCCUCUUCCCUCUCUCCAUACCCCUUCCCCCCUCCCACUCACGACAAUGUCCUUAUAGUGCUUUGUGAUGUCUAAGCCCCUCACCCCUCAGAGCCACCAUUGGCUGGGUAGUGGCUUGCUGAUCCAUCAAAGCUCACAGGUAUGGCUUUAUUGUCACGGUGGAAGGGGGUGUAUAUAUAGGGAGGCCAGGAGGCAUGGAGUAGACGAUUGAGAGACACUGACAUGGUGAAGAUGACCAGGAAACCACAAACCUCCAGCCCAGGUGUCAAAGAACAACCACCUGCCAACACCAAAGGGGCAAGGAACAGGAAGGCCCCCUGUCAAACUAAGUCUAUAAGUCCUAUCAAGGUGAGAGAAGCUCCUCUUAGUCUUCCCCUUGACUCCUCCCUCCCAAGACUCCUACCCUGUCCUACCCUACCCCCACCUCAGCCAGUACCUCUUCUCCUGAAGCCCCUGUUCCCACCCCUCCUCCAUUCUCUUCCCCAAAAUCAGUCCCCUUCUGUGAUCUCCCUGUUGUCCUUUCAGGUUCCUAAGACAACCAGGAAGGGAAAAGGAAACCUUUUAGGGAAUUCCAGAAAAAAAAAAAACAACUCUCCCAAAAAAGAUCUCUGCUUCAAGAAAACCUGAGGAAGGAAGCGAGCCAAAACUAUCCAGCCCCUGUGACCAGCUGAAUGAGGAACUUAAUCAAAAUUAGCCACAGCAGGACCAAAGCAAGGAGACCUCCAACAUCCCUAGUGUCUCCCCGGGCAGCCAGUAAUUUCAGGGCAAGACCAGAGAACUCAGAUUUACCUGAAAAGUCUCCAGAGGUCUAACCCCAAAUAAAUAGCCAACAGGGUCUAGAGUACGUUUUACACCCCACAGGGUACACCCCACGGUGAUCAAAAUAAAAAGAACCUGUUGUAAAA